rnacentral:ncRNA from 1 species
UGGCGCCGGAUGCAGUGAAAGUUGCAUGUCCGGUGCGAGGGCGAGGGCAGGGAUUAAUCCGGCAGAUGCCGAGUAACCCCCU